rnacentral:rRNA from 1 species
UGGGGAAUAUUGCACAAUGGGCGCAAGCCUGAUGCAGCAACGCCGCGUGAACGAUGAAGGUCUUCGGAUCGCAAAGUUCUGUUGCAGGGGAAGAUAAUGACGGUACCCUGUGAGGAAGCCCCGGCUAACUACGUGCCAGCAGCCGCGGUAAUACGUAGGGGGCUAGCGUUAUCCGGAGUUACUGGGCGGAAAGGGUGCGUAGGUGGUCUUUCAAGUCGGUGGUUAAAGGCAACGGCUCAACAGUAGUUAGCCUCCGAAACUGGAAGACUUGAGUGCAGGAGAGGAAAGUGGGAUUCCCAGUGUAGCGGUGAAAUGCGUAGAUAUUGGGAGGAACGCCAGUAGGGAAGGCGGCUUUCUGGACUGCAACUGACACUGGGGGACGAAAGAGUGGGUAGCAAACGGG